CCAAGGCGACGAUGCAUAGCCGACCUGAGAGGGUGAUCGGCCACAUUGGGACUGAGACACGGCCCAAACUCCUACGGGAGGCAGCAGUAGGGAAUCUUCGGCAAUGGACGAAAGUCUGACCGAGCAACGCCGCGUGAGUGAAGAAGGUUUUCGGAUCGUAAAACUCUGUUGUUAGAGAAGAACAAGGAUGAGAGUAACUGUUCAUCCCUUGACGGUAUCUAACCAGAAAGCCACGGCUAACUACGUGCCAGCAGCCGCGGUAAUACGUAGGUGGCAAGCGUUGUCCGGAUUUAUUGGGCGUAAAGCGAGCGCAGGCGGUUUCUUAAGUCUGAUGUGAAAGCCCCCGGCUCAACCGGGGAGGGUCAUUGGAAACUGGGAGACUUGAGUGCAGAAGAGGAGAGUGGAAUUCCAUGUGUAGCGGUGAAAUGCGUAGAUAUAUGGAGGAACA
rnacentral:rRNA from 1 species